rnacentral:rRNA from 1 species
UACAGAGGGGGCAAGCGUUAUUCGGAAUUAUUGGGCGUAAAGGGCGCGUAGGCGGCCUGGCAAGUGGAUGGUGAAAUCCCUCGGCUUAACCGAGGAACUGCCAUCCAGACUGCUUGGCUUGAGACCGGGAGAGGUGAGUGGAAUUCCCAGUGUAGCGGUGAAAUGCGUAGAUAUUGGGAGGAACACCAGUGGCGAAGGCGGCUCACUGGACCGGUACUGACGCUGAUGCGCGAAAGCUAGGGGAGCAAACAGG